UACAACUCUGUGCGGUGGAUCACUCGGCUCGUGUGUCGAUGAAGAGCGCAGCCAACUGUGUGAAUUAAUGUGAACUGCAUGCUGCUUUGAACAUCGACAUCUUGAACGCAUAUUGCGGUCACAGGCUAGCCUGUGGCCACGUCUGUCCGAGAGUCGGCCUA
rnacentral:rRNA from 1 species